UAGANNUGAGGUCAGGCAAGACCACCCGCUGAACUUAAGCAUAUCAAUAAGCGGAGG
rnacentral:rRNA from 1 species